rnacentral:rRNA from 1 species
AGAGUUUGAUCCUGGCUCAGGAUGAACUUUGGCGGCGUGCCUAAUACAUGCAAGUCGAACGGAGAUUGUAGCAAUACGGUCUCAGUGGCGAACGGGUGACUAACGCGUUGGUGACCUGCCCCGAAGUGAGGAAUAACAGAUCGAAAGAACUGCUAAUACCCCAUAAUGUCCAGGAGAUUAGAUGCUUCUGGAUUAAAGGAUUUAUCCGCUUCGGGAGGGACCUGCGUCCCAUCAGCUAGUUGGUAAGGUAAAGGCUUACCAAGGCGAUGACGGGUAGGGGACCUGAGAGGGUGGCCCCCCACAAUGGAACUGAAACACCGCCCAUACACCUACGGGUGGCAGCAAUAGGGAAUAUUAGUAAUGGGCGAAAGCCUGAUCUAGCAACGCCGCGUGUGCGAAGAAGGCCUUCGGGUUGUAAAGCACUUUUUGAGAGGAUGAGGGAGGACGGUACUCUCAGAAUAAGUCUCGGCUAACUACGUGCCAGCAGCCGCGGUAACACGUAGGAGGCGAACGUUAUCCGGAUUUAUUGGGCGUAAAGCGCGUGUAGGUGGUUUGGUAAGUAGGGAGUGAAAUCUCCUGGCUCAACUGGGAGAGGGCCGUUCUAAACUGCUGAAAUAGAGGAUGGUAGAGGGAGGUGGAAUUCCGGGUGUAGCGGUGGAAUGCGCAGAUAUCCGGAGGAACACCAGUGGCGAAAGCGGCCUCCUGGACCAUUCCUGACACUCAGACGCGAAAGCUAGGGUAGCAAACGGGAUUAGAGACCCCGGUAGUCCUAGCCCUAAACGAUGUAGACUAGGCGUCGGUGGUUUAAACGCCAUCGGUGUCCAAGCUAACGCGAUAAGUCUACCGCCUGGGGACUACGGCCGCAAGGUUAAAACUCAAAGGAAUUGACGGGUCCCCGCACAAGCAGCGGAGCGUGUGGUUUAAUUCGUUGCUACACGAAGAACCUUACCUGGGUUUGACAUAGCAGUGGUAGGGAAGCGAAAGCGGACCGACCCUUCGGGGAGCUGUUACAGGUGUUGCAUGGCUGUCGUCAGCUCGUGUCGUGAGAUGUUCGGUUAAGUCCGCUAACGAGCGCAACCCUCGCUGUGUGCUACAAGUGUCACACGGUACUGCCGGUAUUAAGUCGGAGGAAGGUGGGGAUGACGUCAAGUCAGCAUGACCUUUAUAUCCAGGGCUACACACACGCUACAAUGGUCAGUACAAUAGGUUGCCAAGCCGCGAGGCGGAGCCAAUCCUAAAAGCAGGCCUCAGUUCAGAUUGCAGUCUGCAACCCGACUGCAUGAAGAUGGAGUUGCUAGUAACCGCAGGUCAGCUAUACUGCGGUGAAUACGUUCCCGGGUCUUGUACUCACAGCCCGUCA